UUGUGCAAUUUUCUCUCUUGUCUCUUGUCAAUUCCCUCCAUUCAUUCAGUGAAAAUGUGGCUCAACCUUGUGUCCUUACUAGUAGUCCUCAAAGGAGUCCAUUCUCAAGUCCAGUUGGUGGAGUCUGGAGGGGAUGUGAGAAGCCCUGGAGGGUCCCUCCGCCUCUCCUGCCAAGCCUCUGGAUUCACCUUCAGCAGCUAUUAUAUGGAAUGGGUGAGACAGGCCCCAGGGAAAGGAUUGGAAUGGGUUUCAGAGAUACAUCCAAGUUCAUCUAGCAUUUACGACUCAGACAAAGUGAGGGGACGCUUCACCACCUCCAGAGACAAUGCCAAAAGCCAGCUGUAUCUGCAGAUGAACAGCCUCAAAGCUGAAGACACGGCUGUCUAUUACUGUGCUAGAGACACAGUGAGGGGAAGUGAAUCUGAAGCCAGACAAAAACCUUCCUUUCCUCAGAGCCGCUCAGCAACUUGAUUCAAUUGUGGAUCCUGGUUUAGUCAAUAAGGAUGGAUCACCAUCCAUUGAGAAUUUUAGGAAUCUUUUGUUCUAGGAAUCCAGUUAGAGAC